UACAGAGGUGGCAAGCGUUGUUCGGAAUUACUGGGCGUAAAGGGCGCGUAGGUGGCCAUCUAAGUCAGACGUGAAAUCCUCCGGCUUAACCUGGGAACUGCGUCUGAUACUGGACGGCUUGAGUAUGGGAGAGGAACGUAGAAUUCCAGGUGUAGCGGUGAAAUGCGUAGAUAUCUGGAGGAAUACCGGUGGCGAAGGCGGCGUUCUGGACCAUUACUGACACUGAAUCGCGAAAGCUAGGGGAGCAAACGGG
rnacentral:rRNA from 1 species